rnacentral:rRNA from 1 species
CUACGGGCGGCUGCAGUGAGGAAUAUUGCACAAUGGGGGGAACCCUGAUGCAGCAACGCCGCGUGGAGGAUGACGCAUUUCGGUGUGUAAACUCCUUUUAUAUGUCAAGAAAAUGACGGUAGCAUAUGAAUAAGCACCGGCUAACUCCGUGCCAGCAGCCGCGGUAAUACGGAGGGUGCAAGCGGUACUCGGAAUCACUGGGCGUAAAGGACGCGUAGGCGGGUUGGAAAGUCAGGUGUGAAAUCCUACAGCUUAACUGUAGAACUGCACUUGAAACUGCUAAUCUAGAGUAUGGGAGGGGGGGAUGGAAUUAGUGGUGUAGGGGUAAAAUCCGUAGAUAUCACUAGGAAUACCUAAAGCGAAGGCGAUCUCCUGGAACAUUACUGACGCUAAGGCGUGAAAGCGUGGGGAGCAAACAGGAUUAGAUACCCCUGUAGUC